rnacentral:lncRNA from 1 species
GCAACAAUCAUAAAAAAACCAUAUCAUUUGUCUGAAAAUACAAAUAAAUAAAAUAAAAUAAUUAAAAAUCAUAUUAUACAUUAAUAUACCACCAUUCAAACAAAACCUAAGAGUAAGUUUGCCCCUCCAUCAACUCUUUUAAGUUUUCAAAUAAAUAAGAGAUCAUGAUUCUAUCUAAGAAGAAAUCAUGAUGAAACAUUCAAGCGACUAACGACGAGAGAUCUAUGUGCGAAUCCUCCAAGAAACCUAAGGGUGUACUUGGAACAUCCCAUACAUCAAAAGAAUAUAAGAAUCAAAUAUCAUUUCAUUUCGUUCAUAUUUUCCAUAUACAUCCUACCUCAUGAAAUAUUUACUCCUGCUAUGUAUGAAAAUGAUAACAUUUGUAAAUCAAAUGAAAAGUCCGCAACGAUAACAUACAAAUAUGUCCUAUCUCUGCUUUACAAAUUGUAACUCUGUUAAACCUGUAAAUAUACUAAGUAUUCGUCAACAGUAAAGCUAAGUCUGCUCACAUUUUGAAUCAUAGCUUGGUUCUGGGAGCUCUUGGAUUUGUUGCUGCUUAACCGUCUCUGUAAUAUAAUAAAGGAAUGAGCUACGAAGCCCAGCAAGGUCGAUUUAGAACUAAAAACCAACUUACUGAAAUAAGAGAACAUAAAUCCCUACUUUUUUCAAUAUUUUUGUGCACUCAUAACACCAAACACCCAUUUGUUCCCUCUCUCUUACAACCCCUAUUCUUCUAUCUACUGCAUGCUAAAAUCCACUCAAAAUCCCAUAACAGCACUCCCUUUACUCCACCCAGAAUUCACCCAGAAAUCUAUAAAACCCUNN